rnacentral:rRNA from 1 species
GACGAACGCUGGCGGCGUGCUUAACACAUGCAAGUCGAACGGAAAGGCCCUGCUUUUGUGGGGUGCUCGAGUGGCGAACGGGUGAGUAACACGUGAGUAACCUGCCCUUGACUUUGGGAUAACUUCAGGAAACUGGGUCUAAUACCGGAUAGGAGCUCCUGCUGCAUGGUGGGGGUUGGAAAGUUUCGGCGGUUGUGGAUGGACUCGCGGCUUAUCAGCUUGUUGGUGGGGUAGUGGCUUACCAAGGCUUUGACGGGUAGCCGGCCUGAGAGGGUGACCGGCCACAUUGGGACUGAGAUACGGCCCAGACUCCUACGGGAGGCAGCAGUGGGGAAUAUUGCACAAUGGGCGGAAGCCUGAUGCAGCAACGCCGCGUGCGGGAUGACGGCCUUCGGGUUGUAAACCGCUUUCGCCUGUGACGAAGCGUGAGUGACGGUAAUGGGUAAAGAAGCACCGGCUAACUACGUG